rnacentral:rRNA from 1 species
UACAGAGGUCCCAAGCGUUGUUCGGAUUCACUGGGCGUAAAGGGUGCGUAGGCGGUCGGGUAAGUCUGAUGUGAAAUCUCACAGCUUAACUGUGAAACUGCAUUGGAUACUAUCCGGCUCGAGGAAUGGAGGGGAGACUGGAAUACUUGGUGUAGCAGUGAAAUGCGUAGAGAUGUGGAGGAACACCGAUGGCGAAGGCAGCCUCCUGGGCCAGCACUGACGCUCAUGCACGAAAGCGUGGGGAGCAAACAGG